GUGAAAGCCCGAUAUUUCCACAGGAAAUCAAAGGGAUCAAGUUUGUGCUUGAUGGUCGUCUGAGUUGAGACCGACACUGUUAAAAAAUGAGGCCCAAAACCCGGAGAAGAGCGCAUGUUUCUGGCCGUAAACGUAAAGCAUCAUCUCCACAACCCAGCUGUGUGUCUAUGAAGAGCGACACAUCCAUGCAUCAUCCACCUGCUCUCCGUGAUGGAGCCUCUGACCCUGACAGCACUACAGCUAAACUGAGGCCCAAUACCGGGAGAAGAGCGCAUGUUUCUGGGCGGAAACGUAAAGCAUCAUCUCCACAACCCAGCUGUGUGUCUAUGAAGAGCGACACAUCCAUGCAUCAUCCACCUGCUCUCCGUAAUAGAGCCUCUGACCCUGAUAGUACUGCACCUAAAAUAAGCUCUAAUAAGCGGAGACAUGUUUCCGGUUCGAAACGUAAAGCAUCAUCUCCACAACCCUGCUGUGUGUCUAUAAAGAGCGACACAUCCAUGCAUCAUCCACCUGCUCUCCGUGAUGGAGCCUCUGA